rnacentral:rRNA from 1 species
UAAGCAUAUCAAUAAGCGGAGGAAAAGAAACCAACAGGGAUUGCCCUAGUAACGGCGAGUGAAGCGGCAACAGCUCAAAUUUGAAAGCUGGCCUUCGGGUCCGCAUUGUAAUUUGUAGAGGAUGCUUUGGGUGAAACGCCAGUCUAAGUUCCUUGGAACAGGACGUCAUAGAGGGUGAGAAUCCCGUAUGUGACUGGAAAUGUUAACCUAUGUAAAGCUCCUUCGACGAGUCGAGUUGUUUGGGAAUGCAGCUCUAAAUGGGAGGUAAAUUUCUUCUAAAGCUAAAUAUUGGCGAGAGACCGAUAGCGCACAAGUAGAGUGAUCGAAAGAUGAAAAGCACUUUGGAAAGAGAGUUAAAAAGCACGUGAAAUUGUUGAAAGGGAAGCGCUUGCAAUCAGACUUGUUUAAACUGUUCGGCCGGUCUUCUGACCGGUUUACUCAGUUUGGACAGGCCAGCAUCAGUUUCGGCGGCCGGAUAAAGGCUCUGGGAAUGUGGCCUUCACUUCGGUGAAGGUGUUAUAGCCCAGGGUGUAAUACGGCCAGCCGGGACUGAGGUCCGCGCUUCGGCUAGGAUGCUGGCGUAAUGGUUGUAAGCGACCCGUCUUGAAACACGGACCAAGGAGUCUAACAUCUAUGCGAGUGUUCGGGUGUCAAACCCCUGCGCGUAAUGAAAGUGAACGGAGGUGGGAACCGCAAGGUGCACCAUCGACCGAUCCUGAUGUCUUCGGAUGGAUUUGAGUAAGAGCAUAGCUGUUGGGACCCGAAAGAUGGUGAACUAUGCCUGAAUAGGGUGAAGCCAGAGGAAACUCUGGUGGAGGCUCGCAGCGGUUCUCACG